rnacentral:rRNA from 1 species
UAGUCCACGCCCUAAACUAUGUUCACUCGAUGUUUGUGAUAUACAAUAAGCAUCUAAGGGAAACCGUUAAGUGAACCACCUGGGGAGUACGUUCGCAAGAAUGAAACUCAAAGGAAUUGACGGGGGUCCGCACAAGCGGUGGAGUAUGUGGUUUAAUUCGAUGAUACGCGAGGAACCUUACCUAGGCUCUAAUGCGACUGCUAUCCGGUGAAAGCUGGAGUUCCUUCGGGACAGGAAGCAAGGUGCUGCAUGGUUGUCGUCAGCUCGUGCCGUGAGGUGUUGGGUUAAGUCCCGCAACGAGCGCAACCCCUACCUUUAGUUGCCCAGCAUUUAGUUGGGCACUCUAGAGGGACUGCCGGCGUUAAGCCGGAGGAAGGUGGGGAUGACGUCAAGUCCUCAUGGCCCUUAUGUCCAGGGCUACACACGUGCUACAAUGGAGGGUACAGAGAGAAGCUAAACAGCGAUGUCAUGCCAAUCUCAAAAAGCCCUUCUCAGUUCGGAUCGGAGUCUGCAA